UUCAAAUCCAAUCAAACCCUAAAACCCCAUUUCGUGAAACCCAAAAUCCAAUCUUGAAAACAUUCCCCCAAUACAUUCAAUCAUACCCAUCACCGAUCAUCAAAUCCAAUCAAACCCUAAAACCCCAUUAAUCACUACAAUUUUGUACUUUGCGACACUAGACCUGUGACGGUUCGCUCAAAACUACCCUUGUUCUUUGUUUGCGACGUUUUAGUCAUCUCCAUCAUCAAUAACUCAAGUUGUGAAGGGUCAUUCAAGGUUUGUACGACCUGGAGAUCUUGAGGAAGCCAACAAGCAACGCUUACGCUCACUAGGUUUACCGCAAGCACCUUCACCACCUACAACAGUCCAAAAGACAGCUCCGCUAAUUCACUACCCAGUUCAGAAUAUUCAAAAGAGCAUGAAGGUGACAUUAAUGAUAUGCUGCAAAAGAUAUAUUUCAAAACAAUAGUCACCAUAUUGAUGGAAAGUAUUAAACCACAAGGCAUAACAAAAACAAUAAGAGGAAUCACGAGACCUCAAAAUACUUGUUGAGGUAACUACAUAAUGAUGUAAGAUUGUUAGGCUACGGAAGCGCAACUGUGAAACUUUGGGGCUACUUAAGUGCAGCUGCACAUUCAUGCCUCUUUUGACAUUAACACAAGAUACAAAGUACGCAAACUAGUUGUCUCACCGAUGACACUAGA